GGUUUAGGGUUUUGGUUUAGGGUUUUAGGAUUUAGGGGUUUAGGUUUUAGGGGUUUAGGAUUAGGGUUUGGGGUUUGGUGUUUGGCAUUUGGGGUUUAGGAUUUGAAGUUUAUAGUUUAGGAUCUAGAGUUUAGGAUUUAGGGUUUUAGGUUUGAGGGUUUGGGAUUUGGGUUUGAGGCUUUGGAUUUAAGAUUUAGGGAUGAGGGUUUAGGG
rnacentral:lncRNA from 1 species